rnacentral:ncRNA from 1 species
AAUAAACUGCCACCGGGUAGGUAAUGUGAAAGCAUUUGUCGUACAGCGUUAGGUCUUUGAAGCUGUACCGGCAAGUGCUUUUUUUGGA